UACGUAGGGUGCAGGCGUUAAUCAGAAUUACUGGGCGUAAAGCGUGCGCAGGCGGUUUGCUAAGACAGGUGUGAAAUCCCCGGGCUCAACCUGGGAACUGCAUCCGAGACUGCAUUGCUAGAGUAUGGGAGAGGGAAGCGGAAUUUCUGGUGUAGCAGUGAAAUGCGUAGAUAUCAGAAGGAACAUCAGUGGCGAAGGCGGCUUCCUGGACCAAUACUGACGAUCAGGUGCGAAAGCGUGGGGAGCAAACAGG
rnacentral:rRNA from 1 species